AACGAACGCUGGCGGCAGGCUUAACACAUGCAAGUCGAGCGCCCCGCAAGGGGAGCGGCAGACGGGUGAGUAACGCGUGGGAAUCUACCCAUCUCUACGGAAUAACGCAUGGAAACGUGUGCUAAUACCGUAUACGUCCUUCGGGAGAAAGAUUUACCGGAGAUGGAUGAGCCCGCGUUGGAUCAGCUAGUUGGUGGGGUAAAGGCCUACCAAGGCGACGAUCCGUAGCUGGUCUGAGAGGAUGAUCAGCCACACUGGGACUGAGACACGGCCCAGACUCCUACGGGAGGCAGCAGUGGGGAAUAUUGGACAAUGGGCGCAAGCCUGAUCCAGCCAUGCCGCGUGAGUGAUGAAGGCCCUAGGGUUGUAAAGCUCUUUCACCGGUGAAGAUAAUGACGGUAACCGGAGAAGAAGCCCCGGCUAACUUCGUGCCAGCAGCCGCCGUAAUAC
rnacentral:rRNA from 1 species